CAGAGCUCGAGGAGGAGCUGUUUCUUUCCAAAGAGGAGAACAAGAGACUCCAGAAACUACUGGACGCUGUUUUACAGCCUCAGCUUCGGAUCCACAGAGCAGGUACACCUGGUCCGCCCCUGGCUCCGCCUCCCCCAGGUGUCCUAAUGACAUUCAGCUGGGGACUUUAAAAGGAGAAGCUGGAGGAGAAGAGGUCUCUUUUCCUGUCCUGAUACCGAGGGAUUAUAUCCGUGGAUUUCCUCUCACCCCACGUGUGGAUCCAUUAUUCUUUUGCUGUCUUAUAUUGUGUGAACUCUGGAGGAUGUUAGUUUAGGAUUUUUCGCGGCUUUGUUUUUUUCCCAGUAGGUUGUGUUAGAGGAGGGAGGCUGGGUCCUACGGCCCAUGGUGUGGCUGGCCCAGGCCCCCUUCUUCCUUUUUGUUUGUUUUUUGCCGUCCUCCAGACUUGGUUCCGUUUUGCCGGUAGACAUGUAAGUUACGACUGUGCUGACAAUAAAUGCCCGUCGUUAACGAUAUUCUGUGUUUGGCGUGGUUUGUUUUUAUGUUACGGGUCUUCCGACGAGCCACUACCACUUGGUAGGGGGACGGGUCGUAACAAUAGUCACUGCUCAUAAACCUUAAAAUAUUAAGUAAAUGUUAAUCUAAAACCAUAGUAGCUGUUUGAAUCCGCGCGUCUUGACAAAACAAGAUACCGGCGAUUUUGGACGACGGUUCAGUUGGGUUUGCACUUUGAAGGCUGUCGGAGGAGCUACAUGGCUGGAAAAAGAAGUGUUGGUAAGUUAUUGUCUCUCUGUUUAAGACUUAUGAUAAUAUAUGUGUCUUUGUGCAUAAUAGCCUGAUUCUUGUUUGCUUGAAUCAUGUUAACGUUUCUGUGCAUUAGCUCACAAAGUUGAGAGAUUAUGUUUUAGAUAUGUUAAGAUGUGAUGAUCGACGGUGUCAAACGCUUUUGAAAGGUCAAUAAAUAGAGCUGCACAACUCUGUUUAUUAUCUAAAAUACUCGCCACAUCAUUCACCGUGCUGUUAGCUAGCUAACAUGAACUGUAAUUUACCAGAUAAUUUAAAAAAAACACUCCCAUGCACCUAAAGAAGGUUCCAGAGAACACAUUUUCAUUCAGAUAUCUUGAGCUUAAAGGUCAGAGGAUUACCCCUUUGAAUAUGGUCAUGUCAUUUUCCCCUCGUCAAAAUGUUGCCUAUCUUUGCAGCGUUAUUUAGCCUCUUUGCUGACCAGCAUGACAUGGGUUGGACAAGGCACCAAUGGAUUCCUCAGAUCCUAGUUUCAUAUGAUAUCAUCUUUACUCUAGAGAUCUUUACUCUUUACUCUAUCCGGGCCGUACAAUUGUCCGGCCCGGAUUAGGGCCCUAGGGUCUCAGAGUUAAUGAUGGUCUUUAGCACAUGUGUUGAUUCUGCCCUGAUAAUGAAGUCACUUUGAAUGAUUCAAGCAUUCUAUGUUUCUCACUUCAUUUUUCUUGUAAAUUGUAUGCAGGAGGACGCCGCAGUGAUGCAACUGAACACGUCCUGAAGAUCCUGGUUGUCCAUGGUGCCAAUGGAGAGGAUCCAGUGGAUGCAGCCCUCCUGCUUGAAGGCAGAGAGAUGAUGCCAGGAUGCGGCAGUACUGCCGAGCCAUGCACGCUGCUUAUGGGGCUGAUUUAUGCCUUAACCCUGGCAUACCCCCCAACACUGCGCUACACUUUUGAGGUGUUCCAGAAACUUUUUCUCGGACUGGAUGGGAUUAAGCUGACCCCAAAAGUACAAGCUUUGAAGGUGAACCUGCUGUCUUAAAGACAUGGCAAAAAACAAUCUUGGAUCGUACAUCCCAACUGACUUCUUCAUAUGUACCGUCCACUGUCCAUGUUGCAAUUGCUCAGUUUCAGGGAGCUGUAUCAAUCUCUGUCUCCCCCCUCUGCCAUUUUUUUCUUUCUCAGUAUAAACAUUUCUCCCUCUUUCUCUCUCUCACACGGAUUACAGUUGUUGCCGUCUAUUCAUAUUCUAUUAUAUGUUUCCCCCCCCUCCUUAGGUAAAUAAACGUUUGUAUUGAAUGUUUAGAAAGCACCACUCCAAAUCUAUGAUGGAGGAGAUUUGUUUUGUGGCAGUGAUAUUUUUAUUUUAUAUAUUUUUUGAUAAGUUAAUAUUAUUAUAAUGUUAAUGUUGUCGGUUAAUAGUGAUUGAAUUGUUGACAAAAUAAAGUUUUAUUGUAUUUUA